UGUUCUUGUAGUUGAGACUAUCAACGAUGGCUUUUCAAGCCAUAGGCCUUGAGAAAAGCCAAGCAAGAAUU
rnacentral:tRNA from 1 species